rnacentral:rRNA from 1 species
UACGAAGGGGGCUAGCGUUGCUCGGAAUUACUGGGCGUAAAGGGAGCGUAGGCGGAUAGUUUAGUCAGAGGUGAAAGCCCAGGGCUCAACCUUGGAAUUGCCUUUGAUACUGGCUAUCUUGAGUACGGAAGAGGUAUGUGGAACUCCGAGUGUAGAGGUGAAAUUCGUAGAUAUUCGGAAGAACACCAGUGGCGAAGGCGACGAUACUGGUCCGGUUACUGACGCUGAGGCUCGGAAAGCGUGGGGAGCGAACAGG